AUGGCGAAGGCAGCCCCCUGGGAUAAUACUGACGCUCAUGCACGAAAGCGUGGGUAGCAAACAGGAUUAGAUACCCUGGUAGUCCACGCCCUAAACGAUGUCAACUAGCUGUUGGGCUUCGGGGCUUAGUAGCGUACGUAACGCGUGAAGUUGACCGCCUGGGGAGUACGGUCGCAAGAUUAAAACUCAAAGGAAUUGACAGAGACCGCACAAGCGGUGGAUUAUAGGAUUAAUUCGAUGCAACGCGAAAAACCUUACCGGCACUUGACAUGUCUGGAAUCCUUUAGAGAUUUAGGAGUGCUCGCAAGAGAACCGGAACACAGGUGCUGCAUGGCUGUCGUCAGCUCGUGUCGUGAGAUGUUGGGUUAAGUCCCGCAACGGGCGCAACCCUUGUCAUUAUUCAGUUGGG
rnacentral:rRNA from 1 species